CAGCACGCAGCCGUCGCCAGCACAUCGUGUAUAUAAGGAACGAGGAGACGCCAGAGCUGCAUCAGUCGUCAUGGCAGCCUCCACCAAGUCUCUCCUGCUCCUCUGUCUGGCUCUCGUGGUUGUGGCCACAAUGGCGCAGAAUUCUGCUGACGCGCCGCCACCAGCGGUCCCUAGCGGAGAUGCCGCCAACAACCAGGAGCCGGUACAGCCGGUGGUGGGCGACGGAGCUGCUGGGGACCAGGCGCUGCAAGACCGCUGGGGGGCGUCCAUUUCCUUCCACAGCGGCUGAGCAGACGGCUGGCAGGUCCAAGAAACACACAGCUCUGCUUUAUCAAGAGCUAAACUUUCUUUUUCCAAAAUUAUAGACGAACGUGUAUUACAAAAGAAAAAAUAAACUUUACCAUCCGAAAAAGUA